GGGUGAUUAGCUCAGCUGGGAGAGCGUCUGCCUUACAAGCAGAAUGUCGGCG
rnacentral:tRNA from 1 species